rnacentral:rRNA from 1 species
UAUCGAAUCGCCAUCCAACACAUCUGGUGGGCUCUGCCCGCCCUUGUAG